GACGAACGCUGGCGGCGUGCUUAACACAUGCAAGCCGAACGGGCCUUGUCCCCUUUUUUUUUGGGGGUGGGGUUAGUGGCGAACGGGUGAGUAACACGUGAGUAACCUGCCCCUCACUUCUGGAUAACCGCUUGAAAGGGUGGCUAAUACGGGGUGUUCUGGCCUGCUCGCAUGGGUGGGUUUGGAAAGAUUCGACCGGUUUGGUUGUUUUGGUGGGGGAUGGGCUCGCGGCCUAUCAGCUUGUUGGUGGGGUGAUGGCCUGCCAAGGGUUUGACGGGUAGCCGGCCUGAGAGGGUGGGCGGUCACACUGGGACUGAGACACGGCCCAGACUCCUACGGGAGGCAGCAGUGGGGAAUCUUGCACACUGGGCGCAAGCCUGCUGCAGCGACGCCGCGUGAGGGAUGGAGGCCUUCGGGUUGGGAACCUCUUUCGCCAGUGAAGAAGGUCCUGCUCUUUGUGGUGGGGUUGACGGUAGCGGGGUUAAUGAAGCGCCGGCUAACUACGUG
rnacentral:rRNA from 1 species